rnacentral:rRNA from 1 species
CCUGACCUGCAUUCGAUACGGUCUAGCUAGAGUGUGGUAGGGGAGACUGGAAUUCCUGGUGUAGCGGUGGAAUGCGCAGAUAUCAGGAGGAACACCGAUGGCGAAGGCAGGUCUCUGGGCCAUUACUGACACUGAGGAGCGAAAGCGUGGGGAGCGAACAGGAUUAGAUACCCUGGUAGUCCACGCCGUAAACGGUGGGCGCUAGUUGUGCGAACCUUCCACGGUUUGUGCGACGCAGCUAACGCAUUAAGCGCCCCGCCUGGGGAGUACGAUCGCAAGAUUAAAACUCAAAGGAAUUGACGGGGCCCCGCACAAGCAGCGGAGCAUGCGGCUUAAUUCGACGCAACGCGAAGAACCUUACCAAGGCUUGACAUAUACAGGAAUACGGCAGAGAUGUCGUAGCCGCAAGGUCUGUAUACAGGUGGUGCAUGGUUGUCGUCAGCUCGUGUCGUGAGAUGUUGGGUUAAGUCCCGCAACGAGCGCAACCCUCGUUCUGUGUUGCCAGCAUUUAGUUGGGGACUCACAGGAGACUGCCGGGGUUAACUCGGAGGAAGGUGGGGAUGACGUCAAAUCAUCAUGCCCCUUAUGUCUUGGGCUGCACGCAUGCUACAAUGGCUGGUACAAACGGCUGCAAUACCGCAAGGUGGAGCGAAUCCGAGAAAGCCAGUCUCAGUUCGGAUUGGGGUCUGCAACUCGACCCCAUGAAGUCGGAGUUGCUAGUAAUCGUAGAUCAGCAACGCUACGGUGAAUACGUUCCCGGGGCUUGUACACACCGCCCGUCACGUCACGAAAGUCGGUAACACCCAAAGUCAGUGGCCCAACCGUAAGGA